UACGAAGGGGGCUAGCGUUGCUCGGAAUCACUGGGCGUAAAGCGCACGUAGGCGGAUCUUUAAGUCAGGGGUGAAAUCCCAAGGCUCAACCUUGGAACUGCCUUUGAUACUGGGGAUCUCGAGUCCGGAAGAGGUUGGUGGAACUGCGAGUGUAGAGGUGAAAUUCGUAGAUAUUCGCAAGAACACCAGUGGCGAAGGCGGCUCACUGGUCCAUAACUGACGCUGAGGCACGAAAGCGUGGGGAGCAAACAGG
rnacentral:rRNA from 1 species